rnacentral:lncRNA from 1 species
CCACUCAAAAUCGCGUCGCAGCACUCCCCUCUUCCAUUUCGGACCUAUUUCCGACCGGCCACAACAAUAAUGACGGCGCUUCGACGGUAAGUCCUCUUUCCCUUACCCUUUUUGUUUUUUUCGUUUAGUUGUUUUUAAAAGAACAAGAAAGAAAAAAAAUCAAAAGGAACAAAAUAGUAAACAGAAAAGGAAAAAAAAACCGAUUCACCACCUUCAAAAAUUGUUUCUUUUUAUUCCUUGUUUCUAUGUUUUUUGGAUAUCCAAUCGUGUAACCCCUCUUACAAAAAUCCCCUGGCUUUUUAUAGCCAAAUCUUUUACAUAAAUAAAAAAAAACUUUUACAAUUUGUUGCUGUAUAUUCGGUCACUACCCAUGGUUCGUUGCAGGUGAAGGAGAACGUGAAACUGGCAUUGCAAGGCUGCUGAACGUGCGAGCACGACGUGGGCAGUAGAACGGUUGCUGCGGCGUGGGGUGCCUGGUGCCAACUGCUGUUUAGGGUUAGGCUAGGGUUUGCACACUUGGGCCUUAUUGGGCCUUAUUGGGCCAAAUGUAAUUGGGUCAAGAUUGGCCCAAGUUUUAUUGGGUUUGAUUGGUUAAUUUGAGCCCCAGGCAACAAUUGGGUAUUACACUUCGAUACAAUUAAACCAUGCAAUUUGGGCAAUGCAUUAUUAAAUUUAACGGUUCAGCCAUCCAAAUCUUGAAAAACGAUUUCGCGUGGGUUCCCUUCAUGUCUGCCACAAACACAAACACUAUCCAAUCCCUUCUUGUAAUGAGAGAAGGGUGGCAAAUAGUAGUGGCAGAAAAGAAGAGAAAAAAACAAAAGAACAUGAAGUUGGAAGAAAUACACUUUCAACAUGG